rnacentral:piRNA from 1 species
UGGCUGAUCAGCUUAAAUGAGAAAGGCAG